GAUCAUGGCUCAGGAUGAACGCUAGCGACAGGCUAACACAUGCAAGUCGAGGGGCAGCAUAGAAGUAGCAAUACUUGGUGGCGACCGGCGCACGGGUGAGUAACGCGUAUGCAACCUACCUAUCAGAGGGGAAUAACCCGGCGAAAGUCGGACUAAUACCGCAUAAAACAGGGGCACCGCAUGGUGAUAUUUGUUAAAGAAAUUCGCUGAUAGAUGGGCAUGCGUUCCAUUAGGUAGUUGGUGAGGUAACGGCUCACCAAGCCGACGAUGGAUAGGGGAACUGAGAGGUUGGUCCCCCACACUGGUACUGAGACACGGACCAGACUCCUACGGGAGGCAGCAGUGAGGAAUAUUGGUCAAUGGGCGGGAGCCUGAACCAGCCAAGUCGCGUGAAGGAAGAAGGAUCUAUGGUUCGUAAACUUCUUUUGCAGGGGAAUAAAGUGCAGGACGUGUCCUGUUUUGUAUGUACCCUGAGAAUAAGGAUCGGCUAACUCCGUGCCAGCAGCCGC
rnacentral:rRNA from 1 species